AAAACUAGCCAGUCUUUUGGGUAUGAAACCCAUUUGGGCGAGAGUAGUACUACGAUGGAUGACCUCCUGUGAAGUCCUCGUGAAAGGGUUUC
rfam:Triticum aestivum genome assembly, contig: Triticum_aestivum_CS42_TGACv1_scaffold_457463_5DS